GUAAGGAAUAUUGGUCAAUGGACGAAAGUCUGAACCAGCCAUGCCGCGUGAAGGAUGAAGGCCCUCUGGGUUGUAAACUUCUUUUAUCUGGGACGAAAAAAGGGUAUUCUUACUCACUUGACGGUACCAGAGGAAUAAGCACCGGCUAACUCCGUGCCAGCAGCCGCGGUAAUACGGAGGGUGCAAGCGUUAUCCGGAUUCACUGGGUUUAAAGGGUGCGUAGGUGGGUAUUUAAGUCAGUGGUGAAAUCUCCGAGCUGAACUCGGAAACUGCCAUUGAUACUAUUUACCUAGAAUGACCUGGAGGUAAGCGGAAUAUGUCAUGUAGCGGUGAAAUGCUUAGAUAUGACAUAGAACACCAAUUGCGAAGGCAGCUUACUACGGGGUGAUUGACACUGAGGCACGAAAGCGUGGGGAGCAAACAGGAUUAGAUACCCGGGUAGUCC
rnacentral:rRNA from 1 species